UAGAUAUAGCCCAUGUAUAUUAGAUGGUUCCUUAGUAUUUAUAGAAUAUUUAUUAUAUAGGUAUUCCUCAGCAGCCAAAUGAGAACAAUCACAUUAGCAGCAUUUCAAUAAGAUUAACUUGAGCAAAUCGCCACUGACAGUCUGACAAAGUAUAUAUCAGCGAUGAUGGCAGAUUUUUGUCUUGCUUAAAUUUGUUAUUCUAGCAGAUAAUUGCAGAAGGCGAACAAAAUACCGCAAUAAGGCGGGUCGGAAUUUAUCUCUGUUUACACAUUUAUGUUCGUGACAAGUGAAUUGUAUCUACUUUUUCGUGGGAAAAAAUAAUAAUAUUUUGUUAUAGUAAAUAUAUUGCAAGAGGUAUAAUAUCAAUGUCGACUACUAACUGCUCGGCAUCGUAAAACCGCUUACUUUAUAUCCUCUAGUCGUAUUUGUAUGUAUGAAUAUUAGUGCAUAUCUCACUUGUACUCAUUGUAAAUAUAAUAUAUGUUUGUGUCAAAACAAAGGCGAUCCAACCUAACCAGGAGAUUUAUUUCAAGUACUCACACACAAAUGCACAAACAAUACAUUUAAUUUGAAAAUACAUGUAUAGUAAGUACUUAAGUGAAGACAAUUAGAAAUACUUUGUGUUUAUUUUCUUAAAAUUUAAAAUUUUACUAAAUGCUCGUACAUACAUAUCUACUCGUAUUUAUUUUCAUUUGCAGGUGUCACAUUGGCAGCGAGUAUAUUUGGGAACCACCGACCAAGAGUGACUCAUCCUAUGAGUAAUUUGGGUUAGUUAGUGAUUGAUUUAAAAAAAAAUAGAUAAACAAAUAUACCGGGACUUUAGCGUUUCAUGUAAACACUGCGGCAAGCUCAACCUUUCUUCUCAGCUAGCGGUUGGAAAAGUGUAGAACGUUUAUGAUGAUCACUUUUGCAGCUACGGCUCAGAUAGUCCAUCCGUUGAGUUCAAACUUCAAUGAUUCGUUCGAGCAUUUCGACUGGUAACUGAGAAUGACACACGUGCUGUUUUGUUCCAAGGCGUGAAUCGAAGCGGAAUUGUCCGCAUAUGCUUUAGACUUUACAUAUCAGCAGAGGAAACAGUCUAACGGUGUGAUAUCACACGAUCUUGGUGGCAACUCGACCAGCUCAAAACGUGAAAUUAUCUGCCGACCGAAGUAUUUUCUCAAUAAAUUCAUUGUUGAAACCAAAUCUCAUCGAAAUGACGAGCUUCAAUUUCAGGCAUCAAAUCAUCACACACACCGCUUACGCGAUUAUAGCCGAGUCAACAACAGCGCGCCAGUCGUUUCUUCUCUUCGCUACGUGGCGCCAAUUGGAUAUUCCAAGGGAGGCCAGGUCCUUCUCCACUUGGUCCUUCCAACGGAGUGGAGGUCUUCCUCUUCCUCUGCUUCCCGCGGCGGGUACUGCGUCGAACACUUUCAGAGCUGGAGUGUUUUCAUCCAUCCGGACAACAUGACCUAGCCAGCGUAGCCGCUGUCUUUUAAUUCGCUGAACUAUGUCAAUGACGUCGUAUAUCUCGUACAGCUCAUCGUUCCAUCGAAUGCGAUAUUCGCCGUGGCCAACGCGCAAAGGACCAUAAAUCUUUCGCAGAACUUUUUUAUAAAUAAUAAGUCAUAAAAAAAAGGUGCGCACUAUUUAGUAACAAUUAUGACAAUUUGUAUAGAAAUGAAAUGUAUAAUAUAUCAUAUCAUCACAGCUUUACCUAUUGCUUACAGUUAUUAAAUACAUUCAGAAAGCUUAAUUGGAAACUUUUACAAUUUGAAAAUUUUGAAGCUUUGCGAGAAAGCUUUUUCAAAGCUUAUCUUUUAUAGCAAGUGUAUCAUAAAA